AAGAAGUCAGGCCGGAUUAAGCCAUAGUACGGUAAGAGCUAUGCUGCCUGUGAGCCCCGUCUAAGGACGUAAAAUGAAGUCAGGCCGAAAGCCACGGCUUGAGCAAACCGUGCUGCCUGUAGCUCCAUCGUGGGGAUGUAAAAACCUGGGAGGCUGCAACCCAUGGAAGCUGUACGCAUGGGGUAGCAGACUAGUGGUUAGAGGAGACCCCUCCCGAAACAUAACGCAGCAGCGGGGCCCAACACCAGGGGAAGCUGUACCCUGGUGGUAAGGACUAGAGGUUAGAGG
rnacentral:lncRNA from 1 species